rnacentral:rRNA from 1 species
GUACACAAAAAUGCACAUGCUGUGAGCUCGAUGAGUAGGGCGGGACACGUGGUAUCCUGUCUGAAUAUGGGGGGACCAUCCUCCAAGGCUAAAUACUCCUGACUGACCGAUAGUGAACCAGUACCGUGAGGGAAAGGCGAAAAGAACCCCGGCGAGGGGAGUGAAAAAGAACCUGAAACCGUGUACGUACAAGCAGUGGGAGCACGCUUAGGCGUGUGACUGCGUACCUUUUGUAUAAUGGGUCAGCGACUUAUAUUCUGUAGCAAGGUUAACCGAAUAGGGGAGCCGAAGGGAAACCGAGUCUUAACUGGGCGUUAAGUUGCAGGGUAUAGACCCGAAACCCGGUGAUCUAGCCAUGGGCAGGUUGAAGGUUGGGUAACACUAACUGGAGGACCGAACCGACUAAUGUUGAAAAAUUAGCGGAUGACUUGUGGCUGGGGGUGAAAGGCCAAUCAAACCGGGAGAUAGCUGGUUCUCCCCGAAAGCUAUUUAGGUAGCGCCUCGUGAAUUCAUCUCCGGGGGUAGAGCACUGUUUCGGCAAGGGGGUCAUCCCGACUUACCAACCCGAUGCAAACUGCGAAUACCGGAGAAUGUUAUCACGGGAGACACACGGCGGGUGCUAACGUCCGUCGUGAAGAGGGAAACAACCCAGACCGCCAGCUAAGGUCCCAAAGUCAUGGUUAAGUGGGAAACGAUGUGGGAAGGCCCAGACAGCCAGGAUGUUGGCUUAGAAGCAGCCAUCAUUUAAAGAAAGCGUAAUAGCUCACUGGUCGAGUCGGCCUGCGCGGAAGAUGUAACGGGGCUAAACCAUGCACCGAAGCUGCGGCAGCGACACUGUGUGUUGUUGGGUAGGGGAGCGUUCUGUAAGCCUGCGAAGGUGUGCUGUGAGGCAUGCUGGAGGUAUCAGAAGUGCGAAUGCUGACAUAAGUAACGAUAAAGCGGGUGAAAAGCCCGCUCGCCGGAAGACCAAGGGUUCCUGUCCAACGUUAAUCGGGGCAGGGUGAGUCGACCCCUAAGGCGAGGCCGAAAGGCGUAGUCGAUGGGAAACAGGUUAAUAUUCCUGUACUUGGUGUUACUGCGAAGGGGGGACGGAGAAGGCUAUGUUGGCCGGGCGACGGUUGUCCCGGUUUAAGCGUGUAGGCUGGUUUUCCAGGCAAAUCCGGAAAAUCAAGGCUGAGGCGUGAUGACGAGGCACUACGGUGCUGAAGCAACAAAUGCCCUGCUUCCAGGAAAAGCCUCUAAGCAUCAGGUAACAUCAAAUCGUACCCCAAACCGACACAGGUGGUCAGGUAGAGAAUACCAAGGCGCUUGAGAGAACUCGGGUGAAGGAACUAGGCAAAAUGGUGCCGUAACUUCGGGAGAAGGCACGCUGAUAUGUAGGUGAAGUCCCUCGCGGAUGGAGCUGAAAUCAGUCGAAGAUACCAGCUGGCUGCAACUGUUUAUUAAAAACACAGCACUGUGCAAACACGAAAGUGGACGUAUACGGUGUGACGCCUGCCCGGUGCCGGAAGGUUAAUUGAUGGGGUCAGCGCAAGCGAAGCUCUUGAUCGAAGCCCCGGUAAACGGCGGCCGUAACUAUAACGGUCCUAAGGUAGCGAAAUUCCUUGUCGGGUAAGUUCCGACCUGCACGAAUGGCGUAAUGAUGGCCAGGCUGUCUCCACCCGAGACUCAGUGAAAUUGAACUCGCUGUGAAGAUGCAGUGUACCCGCGGCAAGACGGAAAGACCCCGUGAACCUUUACUAUAGCUUGACACUGAACAUUGAGCCUUGAUGUGUAGGAUAGGUGGGAGGCUUUGAAGUGUGGACGCCAGUCUGCAUGGAGCCGACCUUGAAAUACCACCCUUUAAUGUUUGAUGUUCUAACGUUGACCCGUGAUCCGGGUUGCGGACAGUGUCUGGUGGGUAGUUUGACUGGGGCGGUCUCCUCCUAAAGAGUAACGGAGGAGCACGAAGGUUGGCUAAUCCUGGUCGGACAUCAGGAGGUUAGUGCAAUGGCAUAAGCCAGCUUGACUGCGAGCGUGACGGCGCGAGCAGGUGCGAAAGCAGGUCAUAGUGAUCCGGUGGUUCUGAAUGGAAGGGCCAUCGCUCAACGGAUAAAAGGUACUCCGGGGAUAACAGGCUGAUACCGCCCAAGAGUUCAUAUCGACGGCGGUGUUUGGCACCUCGAUGUCGGCUCAUCACAUCCUGGGGCUGAAGUAGGUCCCAAGGGUAUGGCUGUUCGCCAUUUAAAGUGGUACGCGAGCUGGGUUUAGAACGUCGUGAGACAGUUCGGUCCCUAUCUGCCGUGGGCGCUGGAGAACUGAGGGGGGCUGCUCCUAGUACGAGAGGACCGGAGUGGACGCAUCACUGGUGUUCGGGUUGUCAUGCCAAUGGCACUGCCCGGUAGCUAAAUGCGGAAGAGAUAAGUGCUGAAAGCAUCUAAGCACGAAACUUGCCCCGAGAUGAGUUCUCCCUGACUCCUUGAGAGUCCUGAAGGAACGUUGAAGACGACGACGUUGAUAGGCCGGGUGUGUAAGCGCAGCGAUGCGUUGAGCUAACCGGUACUAAUGAACCGUGAGGCUUAACCUUACAACGCCGAAG